rnacentral:rRNA from 1 species
UGCCAGCCGCCGCGGUAACACGGGGGGCGCAAGCGUUAUUCGGAAUUAUUGGGCGUAAAGGGCGCGCAGGCGGUCUUGUCCGUCAGGUGUGAAAGCUCGGGGCUCAACCCCGGAAGUGCACUUGAAACAGCAAGACUUGAAUACGGUAGAGGAGAGAGGAAUUCCUGGUGUAGAGGUGAAAUUCGUAGAUAUCAGGAGGAACACCGAUGGCGAAGGCAUCUCUCUGGCCCAAUACUGACGCUCAUGGUCGAAAGCAUGGGGAGCAAACAGGAUUAGAUA